rnacentral:rRNA from 1 species
CGGAUUGCAGCCUGCAACUCGGCUGCAUGAAGCUGGAAUCGCUAGUAAUCGCAGAUCAGAAUGCCGCGGUGAAUACGUUCCCGGGUCUUGUACACACCGCCCGUCACACCAUGGGAGUCGGAAAUGCCCGAAGUCUGUGACCCAACCGAAAGGAGGGAGCAGCCGAAGGCAGGUCGGAUGACUGGGGUGAAGUCGUAACAAGGUAUC